rnacentral:rRNA from 1 species
UCCGUAGGGCGCAAGCGUUGUCCGGAAUUAUUGGGCGUAAAGAGCUCGUAGGCGGUUUGUCGCGUCUGCUGUGAAAACCUCAGGCUCAACCUGGGGCUUGCAGUGGGUACGGGCAGACUAGAGUGCGGUAGGGGUGACUGGAAUUCCUGGUGUAGCGGUGGAAUGCGCAGAUAUCAGGAGGAACACCGAUGGCGAAGGCAGGUCACUGGGCCGCAACUGACGCUGAGGAGCGAAAGCGUGGGGAGCGAACAGG